ensembl:misc_RNA Metazoa_SRP Metazoan signal recognition particle RNA
GCCGGGCGUGGUGGCGCACACCUGUAGUCCCAGCUACUUGGAGGCUGAGGCAGGAGAAUUGCUUGAACCUGGGAGGCAGAGUUUGCAGUGAGCUGAGGUUGUGCCACUGCACUCUAGCCUGGGCAACAGAGUGAGACUCUGUCUCAA